rnacentral:rRNA from 1 species
UACAGAGGGUGCGAGCGUUAAUCGGAAUUACUGGGCGUAAAGCGCGCGUAGGCGGCUUUGCAAGUCGGGUGUGAAAUCCCCAGGCUUAACCUGGGAACUGCAUUCGAGACUGUCUGACUUGAGUAUGCUAGAGGGAAGUGGAAUUCCAGGUGUAGCGGUGAAAUGCGUAGAUAUCUGGAGGAACACCAAUGGCGAAGGCAACUUCCUGGGGCAAUACUGACACUGAUGUGCGAAAGCGUGGGGAGCAAACAGG